UAUAGCUAUGAACAUCGACGUAUAAGUUUUUGUGUACACUAUACACUGAGGAAUGGAACUGCUGGGUCAUCUAGUCACUAUACGUCCAGCCUUUUGAGGAAUGAGCACUGCUUUUCAUAACGGCUGUACCAUUUUACCCUCCCACGGGCAACGUAUGAAGGUGUGGAGUUCGCCAUAUUCUCCACAGCACUUAACAGAUCUGCUUGACCAGACGACAAACCCAGCACCUUCUCAGGCAGCCCUCGGAUGGCUGGUGGUGUUGAAGAAUUCCUGUGUUACAAAAUUCUGCGUUAAGAAAGGUCCUGAGAGGCCCACUGUUGGUGACUUAGCCUCUGGCCUCCUCUCUCGGGAAGGGGUAGAAGGUCUCGGGCAGGAAGAGGAGCCAGGAGGAGGGUCCAGUGAUACAACACAGGCCCGGAGAGCUGGCGAGCCUUGAGGUAGAUGUUUUCUUUCACACCUGGAAAUGGGGAAGUGCUUUUUUUUUUCUUUUUUUUUUUUUUUUCUUUUUUCAAUUCUGGAUAAUAAUCUGGGGAAGGAGAGGGGGGUGCCCCUAUAGGGGCUUGAGGUAGGAAUGCAUUUGGGGCUUUGUGGGGUGGGGGUGCUGAGGCCACAGCCCAGCUCCCUCAAGAACAUUCAUUCCGGCUGAGGUAGGUACUGAGAGCCAAAUAGCAAAAAUCCAUCCUGAGAAAACAAGGUCGGUGGAGGGUGACAGUGCCAGGGGCCCUGCCACAGCAAGGACGUGUUUUUGGAGUCUAAUUCAUCUUUCUUUCUUUCUUUCUUUUUUUUAAAGGAAAACAUUAGUUCAGUUCCAUGUCAUAUGGAUAUGAGGCAGAGGUGAGCAGGGACAUUAGUCCAAGGGAGAGGUUCCUGCAGGAACCCCUCCAGGUCCUGGGGGCGGGGGGGAAUCCCUGCUGAGGCUACUUUUAGGUCUUGACCCCCUAAGGGUGUCAGGACAGAAAUGCUGGGAAGCCCCAUCCGAGUCCCACAUGACAGGAGAAAUCUUGCCUUUGACCUGAGAAUGGGGGGUUGCCCCCUCCAGAGCCUGCCAGACACUGGCUACUGUCCCAAGCGAGCUGGCUGGGCAGCUGGUGCCAUCGGAGGCCGGGUAGCCUGUCCUUCACCGAGGCGGCCAUGGCAUACAUCCUGGGGUGGCAGGGAGGCUGCAGGGCCUGCGCUGGGGUCCUUGGCUUCUGACACCAUCUCCUCCAGAAGGCUGAAUCCCUCAAGUGGCAGCACAGAGAACUGGGUCUCCUCACACAGGGCAGGGUCCCCGGGAUCCUGCUGGAGAAAGAGCCAGUCCGACCAGCAUCAGCAUGAGGGUCAGAGCCCAAAGCCCCCAGCCAGAGGGUCAGGCCCUGCCCCCAAUCCCACUCGGGACUCUGGGCCACCCUGCCUGGUUCAGGCACUCAGAGAGCAGCACUGGCCCAAGCUCUGUACCUGGAGCUUAGUGAAGUCCAAUGACCCUGGCUUAUGAGCAAGGUGAAGGGAGGGCAGGACUGGGAGGUAGUCUGAACCUGGGAUGGGCUCACUCACCAUGGGUCUGGGGCCAGGUCUGGAGUCUGGCCGCCCUGCUGCCCCAGCUGGGGGGAACAGCUGUUCCAGUUCUUUCAAGUCCACACGCUUCUUAUCUCGGCCCAGCUGGCCCUGCUCUCCCUGGCCCGCCCCAUUCAGUGCCAGGAUGCUAGGAUCCCUUGGGCUCCGGGGGCCCUGAGGAGGGGAGAGCUGGUUUUCUACAUCCUUACACAAGAGGACCCUAAGGGGUGAGCCAAGAAUUAGGAGGAGGCUUUGGGGGGGAGCAAAAACAGAAGGCUGGACACAGUGAGCUCCAACUCUGCUUUCCCCUGCGCCAAGGCCUUCUCUGGGCUACCCCCACCCUCCUGCCUGGGACCCACCUGCCCCUUUGGCCGAACAGGAGGAAGAGGACACAGAAGAUGAUGCAGGUGACCCCGAUGUGGAUGCCGAUGACAAUGCCUGUGGUGGACGUCUGGUUACUGGGCUCCUCCUUCCGGCAGUCGCACGGUGGGCUCAGGGCUACGGGCAGGGGAAGGGAGGGAGCUGUGGCUCUCUGGCCCGAAGCCCCUGUGGACACCCAGCGUCUGGGGGCUCCUCCUUCCUCAGCUGUACCUGCCUCCAUGUCUACAUCCCCUUUGCCCUUGGGACCCCAGCCCAACCUUUUUUGGGGUCUCUUUACAAGUUACUGAGUACUAACUUUGUGCCCAAUACUGGGAAUAACACUUUUACACCAUUGAUGAAAGGACCAUUUGAUCCUUACCAUGGCUUUAUAAAGUCCCUGUUUUAUAGAGGACAAAA